CGAAGUGCAGGGCUACCAGGAGGACCUGGGAAUCUCAGUCUGUCCAGAUUAAGGUUUUCCUUUGAGAAAUAAUUUAUCUAGUGUUUGGGGCUUUCGAGUCCCUCAUGAUGUUUUAUCUUUAUGACUAAAGCCUCAAACACUCUUCUCAUUUUCUUUUUUCCUGUCCACAAGAAAAUAAAAUCACCUCUAAGUAAAAUAAUCCGGUAAAUGAUCAGAAGACAUAAUCAUCUUAUGAGAAGUUCCCCGGAGACCAAAAGGUUUAAAAUGGAUAUGGCGAAUGCAGAAGCGGCAUUAGUACAGAGGGUGAAUGCAACGGUUUGUCCCUUUGGUGUAGAAAGAUACAGACACCGAGAAGCCAUUCCACACUUUGCUUUGUCCGCAAAACCAGACCUGGCAGCCACAUGCUGCGGGUUUGGCUGCCAAAUGCACAGCCUUUGUGUUUGCAGAAGCGGAGUCCCCCAGAGGCACAAGCCAAGCUGCUCCUGCUGCCGGUGGCAGGGAAGGCCGGGAAGGGCUGAUGUGCCUUCCCAUCUGAUUGGGCGCAGAGCAGGAGGCAGGCCAGGCCUUGGCCAGCAUGCAGGGCCGACUUCACAGUGGGGCUGGGCUCCUGCGCCCACGCCCGGGCUGCAGGUUGGGAUGCACUGGGACCACAAUGAAGCUUCGGGCUGAAUGGGGCAUGGGCCUCUGUCUUCCUCUUUCCCCUCCCAGCCUGCUGUCCACAGCAGAGGUUUUCCAGCUAACUCAUCUGCAGACUAGUUUUCUUGGCGUCUUCGGGAAAUAAGCUCCCUUUGGGGAAUCUGCCCAAUUCACCUUUUCUAUCUCAACAUUUUCAGCUCUGAAAAUCAGAGGAUUGGAACGCAUUUUUGCAAAUGUCAGGUACAUUUGCAGCCCCAACCUUGGACCAGGUGCCCCCCAAAAGAGUGGUGGGUUACAUACAGGUAUGUACAGUAUUUUUUUUAAGAAACAAACUGAACAGUGUUUGGUCUGGAAUGUGUUUAAGGACAAGGCAAACUUUGCAGAGUGUGAGAAGAUAGAAAGCGGAAGUAGUAUUGUUUCAGAAGAACAUGCAAAAGUUUCGUGCAUUGGUUGAAUCAGAGACCUUCAUUUCAUUUGCCAGAAGUGACUGUGUGACCCUGGGAAAGAGUACGUCUUAUUUCUGUUUGUGGAAGCGGGAGGAGCUGCCCUUUGCUGGCCCUCACUUUCCUUUCACGUAUCCAAAGGAAACCCAGCAGUGCUCUGUGGAAAUUGCACAAAGUAGGGAGUGCUGCUGGCAAGCACAGAGGCAAUAACCCUAGCUCUCCUGUCUUCAGCCCUGGAACGAUGGUUCCAGAGUGGCUUCUCCAGUGUGAAGGAUCCAUACCAGCCAAGGCUCUGGGUGGGCCACAGGGCCGUGCCGGCCAAUGCCUUAAAAUACUGGCCAGCUGCCUGUGUUCUGGCUGCUCUUAUACAUACCCGCACUGGCAUCCUAAGAGAGGCAGGAGGGAGCUGCUGAACCUAGUAACACUGUGUGUGUGUGUGUGGGCUAUCACUAAACAUUUAGCCUGGACAUAGGCAAAGGUGACAAAGAUGGCUUGACCCACAGACCUGCCGAGUCUGGCCAACUGUAGAAGGGCAUGAGGACAACAGCCAGGAAAGUUGUUGUACCAUCAGGCAGACCUACAGGGACACCCGGUGGGCUUGAGGCUGACUGUGCGGAAUGCAGACUCGCAGCACUACGUGGGCAGCAGGGCCGAGGGCGGGCUUUUGCAAAGCUGGCAUUUGGAGCCACCUGCUUGCCUCUCCAAGGCAGCAUCCUUGAAGCCUCCUUGAAAAGUGGUUUGCCCUGGGUUACACACUGUGCUCACUCUAGCCCACACACCUAUCCACCACGUGGGGAAAGGACGUGGCCCGGUUUGCCCGGGACGUUGCCAGUUUUAGCACUGAAAGUCCUACAUCCCGGGAAAUCCUUCAGACCUGGGCAAACUGGGAUUUUUGGUGACCCCACCAUGAUAGGUCUUUGGUUUCAGAUUUCCCUGGUCAGAGGGACGUCUUCCAGCACUGGCUGGGCCUGGUUGAGGUACUCUCUGGCCAUCACUGCAGUGGCCAGUAUCCUGCUUGCUUGGCAGGUCACCUCUCCUCACCACCCUAGAUAAAUGGAUUCUUUUCCAAGGCCGUUUCUUUCUCUUCCCCCGAUAACAUCAGAAGAACAGGGUAAAAAUUUGCAGAAACAACUUAUGUGAGCCAGAGGCCAUUUGAAGUAUAAGAUUAGAAAUGCGUUUUUAAAAAAGAGAGAGAGAGAUUCAUUUUAAAACUGCAUAGCUGAGAGCAGAGCUUUUGUGUGGGACCCCUCAUGAGAAACGAGAGCUGGGUGGGAAGUUCACUUGAAACUAAAUGACAUCUUGUUCCUUCUUGUUCCUUGUUCCUUAAAGGGGGCUCUUAAAUCUUUGCUGGGUGGGCAUCUUCUUCAGAGCAAGUCCAGCCUCUGAAGUUUAGUCUUUAGUCUCGGGGGAGCAGGCUUCUUAAUUUCUGACCGCUGAGGACAAGAGGUCCCUAGGGUCUCCGGUUGGCGAGGGGUUUGCUGGAGAAGCUGCCAGGAGAGGUUGUCUGCAGGUUCCCUCCCAAAACUGCUCCGGAGAGAAGACAGGCCUGCAGAACCACUAAGCUGUCUUCUUAGAGAGCUGCCCCUCCAAGGAAAGGGAGAGAAAGAGACGGAACAGAAGUAAAGUGCACUCUUCGCCUUGGAGACAGCUUCUCGAUCCUCUUGUUAGAAUUUUU